rnacentral:tRNA from 1 species
UAGAGGGUAGUAUAAUUGGAAGUACAUAAGAUUUUGAGUCUUUUGGUGCGGGGUCGUAGCCCGUCGUUCUAG